GCGUCCUUGGUGUAGCGGUAACACACAAUCUCACGGUCCGAUGGUGGUAAAGCUGUAAGAUUGGGUCCGGGGUUCGAUUUCCCGAGGGUGCA